rnacentral:rRNA from 2 species
CUCGGCAACGGAUAUCUCGGCUCUCGCAUCGAUGAAGAACGUAGCGAAAUGCGGUACUUGGUGUGAAUUGCAGAAUCCCGUGAACCAUCGAGUCUUUGAACGCAAGUUGCGCCCGAAGCCAUUAGGCUGAGGGCACGUCUGCCUGGGCGUCACGC